rnacentral:lncRNA from 13 species
GCUUUGAUUUCAGAACCACGGAUGAUGUAUUUUCUCCACGUUGUCUCUUCUGUUCCUGCAAACCCCAGAGAACAUGCUGUAUGAGUAUAAUGGAAAUCAUUUCACUUUCUUUGACUUAUGGUUAGUGAAGAGGAUUUCAGGCUGGCAUCAAGUUACAGGUCAUCCUCUUAUCCUUGUAUUCUGCGUGUAUAUUACUGGCUACAAGCCAACCAGCAGUGGAAACCUCCCGGAGUUCUCGAAGACCUGGCCUGUGGAGUUAAGCCGGGCUUGGUGGAUGCAGCCCAGGUCCUGGGGACACAGAAUACGAAAGUUUUAGUUAAGGGCCAAAAAAAGAUGCAAGAAGAAAGGAGAGAAGCCUACCACAAUAUCGAGGAUCCUGAGAAGACAAGGUGAGUUCUUUUGCCGGCGGGUAAUUUGAAAAAGUUAUUUAAUCUCUCUAUACCAUGGUUUCCUCAUCCAUAGUUUGGAAAUUUUGAUGGUGUCCUAUUUUAUUUACUUUAAUUAAUUUUUCUCUUUGAACUUUCAAAAGUUUCUUUACUUUGACUAAGCUUUUUGCUGCUGGCUAAAAUGAGUGCAAGCUAUGUAUAGUCACAGUUACAUUAUGGAUGGCGGGCGGGUAUUGGUAUCAGCAAAUAUACAAGUUCUUGAUUCCAGAGUCAAAAUUUACUGUAAGUUACCCUGAUCAUGUGAACCUCUUUGGACCCACCAAUAUGCAAGCCAGUCUGGGGUGUCAUAAAAAAUAUAUAUCAGCUGUUCCCCAAAACCUAUUAAAAUAUAUUUAAAAUAAGUUUUUGGAAACGUGUGAUGUUUGGUCAUAUGAAUACAUUCUUUAGUGGUGAUUUCUGAGAUUUCAGUACACCCAUCACCCAUGCAGUGUACACUGUACCCAGUGAAUAGUCUUUUAUCCCUCACCCCCCUCUCACCCUUUUCUCCAAGUCCCCAAAGUCUGUUGUAUCAUUCUUACACCUGUGUGUCCUCAUAGCUUAGCUCCUACUCAUUGGUUUUCCAUUCCUGAAUUAAAUAAUGGUCUUAAAAUUAUGGUCUCCAUUUCCAUGCAGGUUGCUGCAAAUGCCAUCAUUUCAUUCCUUUUUGUGGUUGAGUAGUAUUCCAUGGUGUGUGUGUGUUC